rnacentral:rRNA from 1 species
GGUCGAGCCUGCCCGGUGACAUCAUGUUCAACGGCCGCAGUAUUUUAACUGUGCUAAGGUAGCGCAAUCACUUGUCUUUUAAAUGAGGACCUGUAUGAAAGGCGUGACGAGGGCUUAACUGUCUCCUUUUUCAAGUCAGUGAAAUUGAUCUCUCCGUGCAGAAGCGGAGAUUGUACCAUAAGACGAGAAGACCCUGUGGAGCUUGAGACGUCAGGGCAGCCCAUGCAGACAUCCCUCCCCACGAGGCCAGGAGCAUAAUGGACCCUGCCCCAGUGUCUUCGGUUGGGGCGACCAUGGGGAACACCCAACCCCCAUGAAGAAUGGGAGCACUAAUGGAGGACUACCCACCAAACCCACACCACAACUCCUAGAACCGGAGCCCCCGCUCUGGUUAACGGAACUUCGACUUAGACUGAUCCGGGUAAACCGAUCAACGAACCAAGUUACCCCAGGGAUAACAGCGCCAUCCCCUUCCAGAGCCCAUAUCGCCAAGGGGGUUUACGACCUCGAUGUUGGAUCAGGACAUCCUAAUGGUGCAGCCGCUAUUAAGGGUUCGUUUGUUCAACGA